rnacentral:rRNA from 1 species
CCUACGGGAGGCUGCAGUGGGGAAUAUUGCACAAUGGGGGAAACCCUGAUGCAGCGACGCCGCGUGAGUGAAGAAGUAUUUCGGUAUGUAAAGCUCUAUCAGCAGGGAAGAAAAUGACGGUACCUGAUUACGACGCCCCGGCUAACUACGUGCCAGCAGCCGCGGUAAUACGUAGGGGGCAAGCGUUAUCCGGCUUUACUGGGUGGAACGGGAGCGUAGACGGUGAUGCAAGUCAGAAGUGAAAGCCCGGGGCUCAACUCCGGGACUGCUUUUGAAACUGUGUGACUGGAGUGCAGGAGAGGUAAGCGGAAUUCCUGGUGUAGCGGUGAAAUGCGUAGAUAUAUGGAAGAACACCAGUGGCGAAAGCGGCUCUCUGGUCUGUAACUGACGCUGAGGUUCGAAAGCGUGGGUAGCAAACAGGAUUAGAUACCCCUGUAGUC